rnacentral:lncRNA from 10 species
UGUAAAAUAUUUUUUAAAUAUUUAUUUUUCAUUCAUAAAAAAUAACAUAUUCACUUUGUGAUAACAUAAAUAUGUUUUUAAUGAAAAAUAACUGUAUUUCCCAAAGCAAAAAAAAAUUAGAAGAAUGACAUUAUUUUACAUUUUGUAAAUCUGUUUAAUGUCUAGCUUAAUAGAAUACAGCUAGAUUCUUUUUUCUUUUUCUAUAUUCAUCUUUUAUGACACAAUACAGCAUAGAGCAUCUGGACAGUGCCACUGUAUACUAAUGAGACAAUGAGACUGAAAAAACAAAUAACUUAGCAUCAUUAUGAAAGUAGAUUUGAAGAAGCUGUGUGCUCCAGAAAGUCUUGGGGAACCCCAUGGAUCCCUGAACUAAACUUCGAGAAUAUUGCCCUAGGGUUAAACCUACAAUAGUACCCAAAUGACCAGAUUUGGUAAUGACCAUGGGUCUACUCAUGGGGGUUUGAGUGAUCUAAGAAAACAAUGGAUCAAGGAUGGAUGAUGAAUUUGGAUAUGAAAAACCAGGAAUAGACUGAAAACCCUAACACAAUGAAGGGGAGUCUGAACAGUGAAAUUAUAAGGGAAAAGCUUGUAUUAAUAGAAGAAAAUGCAAAUAAGAUUAUGAACUCUGAUUCCAAUGUGGAGGCUGUCUUCCUCAUGCUGUAUAUUUACAUUCUCACCUCUGUCUGGAUAAUUUCUGAUUUAUACUAGAGUCAGAGCCAGUCAUUGGUGGUAACAGUGAGGCUUUAAGACUAUCUCAUAAUUUAGAUUAAUUCUAAUUUUCUGAGAAUGCUCUUCUGUCUAUAAGUGGAAGUACUUAUAAAAUCUGUAGUAAGAGUAUUAGUAGUACCUAUGAAUUAAUGGUUGCAAAGUUCAGGAAUUUAUGUUUUUAGGAUCUAUAAUCAUUUUAUUUUCUGUGAUAGUCAAACCCACAUGUAAUAUUUAUAAUUUAAAUUAUUUCAGUGGCUGAAGUAAGGUUAUACAAGAUCUUCAAUGGUAGAAUUUUCUAUAUCUGUAGCUACAGCUAGGAUCUCCUCAGAAGAAAUAAUACUAUUAGUAUGUGUAAUGCAAAUGACUCUAUUGGUAGCUAUGGCAUUUGGAAAAGUCCAUAGGAUAAUAAAGUGCAUUUUUUUAGCAUUACUAAUUACAUACUCUCCUGUAAUAUCAAUAACUGUUGGUAUAGAAACCAUUUGAGUGCUGGGGGUAUCACCAGUACUCUCAGUUAUGGUACGUCAUGUGACCCAAGAAACAAGUUGGGCUAUUUCAGUAACUAAAUCUAAGGCAAUAGUAUUUACAGAGCCUAAUGUGGUGUUAUCUGAGAUACCAAAAUUACCUGUGAAAUCUGUAGCAAGGAUAUAUAGGAUAUAUAAAACAUCUGUAGUUUAACUGAUGAGGUUAUAGGAGUAAUAACUAUAAUUUAAAAGAAUAAGAGCACAUACUAUGGUUGCAAAAUAAGUACCCACAGCUUCUUUGGUGAAACCUAUAAGGUUUGUAAACCUUCCUAAACAUGUCUGCAAUGACGAGAGUGUUUGGAGUAGCUGUGUCUUUUAUGGCUAGAGUACUAAUAUCCGUGAAAACUUAAGUAGCAUAAGAUAGAUAGAGUGUCUCGUAACUGAUUUUCUAUAUCUGUAAUAGUUGUUUGUAGGCGUUAUCUGAGGUAACUAUCCUGCCUUGAGUAGUAAUCAUGGAACUUGAGUAGCAUUUAUGGCAUUUGCAAUAUAAGUAGGUGCAGUAGCAGAGGUAUGUACUGUACUAUCAGGAGUGGUAGUAUUUAAAGCAUAUUUUGUAAUAUUUGUAGUAUCUGUGGUAGCACUAGUUGCAGUAAUAGUAGUACUAAUGGUGGCAUCAGCAGUACUUGUCAGAGAAGGAG